CCUCUGGGCCCGAACAAAAGAUAUCACCCCAACUGGUGUGCGACUACAAGAGCCCUGCCACACCACUGGUGGAAUAUCAGGCAUGGCUAAAGUAACGGUCUUAGCGUAGCAAUCCAAGACCGCAUGGUGGGGAGAUAACCAAUCCAUACCCAAAAUCAAAUCAAAAUCCACCAUAUCAAGCAAAAUAAGAUCAACCCUAGUGUCUCGACUCUGAAUAGUCACCAC
rnacentral:lncRNA from 1 species